CGUUAAAACCUUGCUCCUUCGUUUCCCUUUGAAAUAAUCAAACAUCCCCAAUUUCCUACGACGAAAAAUUUCCGACAAAAUUCAGCAAAUGGAUGAUCUAAACGCAACGAUACCGGACUUGAAGUAUCGAUGUUUCAUGCUACAGUUGUCGGACCAACUUACUUCGCAAGAUAUUGAAAGACUCAAGUACAUUUUCGCUUCGGUUAUUCCAGCUGGCAAAAUGGAGUCGCUCGACACGACUUUCAAAUUGUUUCAUCAACUUGAACAACUAUUAUUUGUUGGACCAAAUAAUCUUUGGAAACUCGCAAAACUGUUUCGUGUAAUGGGAAAGCAAA